CCUACGGUGGACAGCAGUGGGGAAUAUUGCACAAUGGGGGAAACCCUGAUGCAGCGACGCCGCGUGAGUGAAGAAGUAUUUCGGUAUGUAAAGCUCUAUCAGCAGGGCAGAAAAUGACGGUUCCUGACUAAGAAGCCCCGGCUAACUACGUGCCAGCAGCCGCGGUAAUCCGUAGGGGGCAAGCGUUAUCCGGAUUUACUGGGGGUAAAGGGAGCGUAGGCGGCAGCACAAGUCUGGAGUGAAAUGCCGGGGCUUAACCCCGGAACUGCUUUGGAAACUGUGCAGCUAGAGUGCAGGAGAGGUAAGUGGAAGUCCUAGUGUAGCGGUGAAAUGCGUAGAUAUUAGGAGGAACACCAGUGGCGAAGGCGGCUUACUGGACUGUAACUGACGUUGAGGCUCGAAAGCGUGGGGAGCAAACAGGAUUAGAUACCCCAGUAGUC
rnacentral:rRNA from 1 species